rnacentral:rRNA from 1 species
UAGGGAAUAUUGCACAAUGGGGGAAACCCUGAUGCAGCGACGCCGCGUGAGUGAUGAAGGCCUUCGGGUCGUAAAGCUCUGUCGUAUGGGACUAACAAAAUGAAGGUACCAUGCAAGAAAGGAUCGGCUAACUUCGUGCCAGCAGCCGCGGUAAGACGAGGGAUCCUAGCGUUGUUCGGAAUUAUUGGGCGUAAAGCGGGUGUAGGCGGACUUAUAAGUCAGGUGUGAAAUCCCAGGGCUCAACCCUGGAAGUGCACUUGAUACUGCAAGUCUUGAGUGUGGUAGAGGCUAUUAGAAUUCCUGGUGUAGUGGUGAAAUACGUAGAUAUCAGGAGGAAUACCGGAGGCGAAGGCGGAUAGCUGGGCCAACACUGACGCUGAGACCCGAAAGCGUGGGGAUCAAACAGGAUUAGAUACCCACGUAGUCCCUGAGCGGGCUGGCAAGGCGCAU